UUCAGUCAGGCAUCCUUGCACCAAACAAGCUCGUCUGCUCCCUCCCCUGUGGGUUUGAAUUAGUCCCACUUUACAUUAGUUUCAAACACCUGUAACUACAGUUCCAUGACAAUUUAAGCGGCCCUUUAACCCUACGCUCUCCCACAAACCAAACGUGCAUUCCUGCUCCCCCCUUUCCACUGGCUUUUGCUGUUAUCAGAUCUUGUGGUGGGCCCAGUCAGGGAGCUGAAAUGGUAGGAAAAUAAUCUAACUAAAGUGAAUAUUUGCUUUACCACUGGACAAGUUGAGAACAAUUAAGUAUAUCUUGAAUAAUUCUGAGCUCAACAGGGCAUGAGUGGUACUUCUGUAUGAUAAAAGCAUAGGAAAUCCUUAACUGUUAUUCUGUAUGGUUAGUGUCAAAGUAAUCUUACAUAUUUUUAUACAUACAUUGCAUUGAAGAGGGCAUUCUUAAACAUGUAGCUUUUGAAAAUUUUACUUAAGUAGACUGAAAAAUUGAUUAAAGAGGUGAAUGGACAUGGAGAUUUUUAACUGUAGAUUUAAACCUAGCUCUGACCAGAUGUAUCCCACUCUUUUGCAUAGUCUAGUGGCCUGAUGGUAAAGCUCAUCCACGUUUAUUAGCUGUCUUGUUGGAAUCUAAGCGAAGAAAUCAAAGUCCAAAUAUAUCCAACGUGAACUGAUAUAUCCCUGCAGAGGCACCUUCGCUGGUUAUAAUGAGAAGGAAAAACCGAAUGCAAACUGCCUGGGGGUGCAUUGCCCAACGCUGGGAGCUGCUGUAGUUAUGGCUGGAGGCCACCAACACAACUGCUCCUCUUCUCCUGCUCAGGCUCAAUGCUCAUUGCCAUCCUGGGAUGCUCUGGGGGAGAAGAAGCCUUCCUGGUGUAUUUUCCUGCCUGGCAAACCCUUGUUUACGAACUGGAGAGCAAAGAAAACCCUGAAGGAUAAAAAUUGUGAAAAAUGGAGAGCCUGCUGCUGUUACCUCAAACCUCACCUCAGACAGCGUACAGGGCAGGUAAGUCGCUGUUUACACAAUGUGAUCUCGGGUUUUUGGUUGGUUUCUGGGUUCGUUUGGUUUGGUGGUUUUUUUUCCCGAAAUGUUUUUAUUGUUUCCAAAUAAAAUAACCGUUCUGGCCAUUCUUGCAGCAUCUCUGCCGUGGGGUUCAGUUGUGGCUGUAAGGUAGGAGCUGGGAAAUUGUGUUUUUCAUUUUGUUGAGGUCUUGUUUAUUUUCCACUACUAUCUGAUAUGGUUAAGAUGCAAGUCCUUAUGUGAAUCUUGGUGAAAAAAAGCAGUAAUUUAGCUUAAAACUACAGGAAAAUAAAUUCCAGAAUGACAUUCUUUUCCGGUCUCUC
rnacentral:lncRNA from 1 species